CAGUCGCCACGGGAACACGAAGGGGGCUAGCGUUGUUCGGAAUUACUGGGCGUAAAGGGCGCGUAGGCGGCCAUUCAAGUUAGAUGUGAAAGCCCUGGGCUCAACCUAGGAAUUGCAUUUGAUACUGUUUGGCUUGAGUUCGGGAGAGGUGAGUGGAAUUCCCAGUGUAGAGGUGAAAUUCGUAGAUAUUGGGAAGAACACCAGUGGCGAAGGCGGCUCACUGGACCGACACUGACGCUGAUGCACGAAGGCUAGGGGAGCAAACAGGAUUAGAUACCCCUGUAGUCCCUGUCUCUUAUAC
rnacentral:rRNA from 1 species